rnacentral:lncRNA from 1 species
AGGGUGGAUGUGGGGCGGGGGGCACUCCCACCCACAGGGGCACACUACAAGAAGAAGGGAAUGUAUUUGUCCACCUACGCCCACCUCUUCCCUGCUGGAGACUGUGCCCCCAAGAGGCUGGGCCCUGAGCCCUGCCCUGGGAUCCCUGUUUCUGAAUCUCAGGAAGCAGAGAGGCUGGGGCUGCUGCCUGAGGGGAGGCUCAGGACCAGGCCAUGCAUGAUGGAGAUGGCUGGUUGUGGAGGCAGCAGAGGCUUAUGUGCUACCAGGGGCCAUGUUUAAGGAUCCAGGGCACUAACCUAGCCCCACCCCAAGGCUGGGGGUCAGGCAGGCUAGCGAAGGUAAGCCAGGCUGAUGUUUGCUUUCCAGCCAGAGGAGCAGAAUUGAAUGGCCUUCUGCUGUUAUAAGCUGCUAGGGGCAGGAGAAGGGAUGUCUAUAGGGAAAUUUCUAAGGACCAAAAGAGAACUGCCCCCUCCUGUCUUCCAGCAGCAUACACCAAGGAAAGGGACGCUGGGGGCCAGAAUCCCUGAUGCUGGAAUCUGUGCAGGGUCAUCUGCAGCCUUGUUCUUGCUAUUCAUUCUUGGUGGAAUGCCCUCCACCCCACCCUGGACUCAGCUUGAGUGCCUGCUCCUGGAGGUGCCUCUGUACCCGCACCCCAGCUGGGUUGGGGUCCUCCUCUGUGCUGCUCCUGCCUCCUCUCAUCUUACUGAGUCCUGGGGCUGCUUCCCUUGCCUUUUCCCCUCCUGACCUCAGGAGGGCCCUGGAGCACAGCAUCCCUCUACCCCAGAGCCCCACAUGGUAUCCUGUGCACCGUAGGAUGCCCAAUUACUGUUGAAAGGAUAAAAGAGUGAGCUCAGGGAUCUACCUGAAACAGAGUCUAAAGGUUAAAAAGAGAAAUACUAAUUUUUCACAGCAUGGUAACAAGAGGUUACUUCUUUUGAAUUCUGCAUUCCAAAUAACCUACAGUAUGUCCCAAGAGCCUUCUUUCCUCCUUCUAGAUAUUUCCUUGCUACUGUGCCCUAUUUUUCUUUUUCUACUUACGUUUUUUUCCUUUGCACUUUUUCCUAACCAAUUCUUGCUUACCUUUCUCACAUUUAUCUAAUCAUAUUGAAUUUAAAAAUGUCUUAGAGUAUUCUGUUUAUUGAAUACAAGUAUGAAUGCUAAAUUUUCAAAAGCUAGAUAAGUUUAAUGUCUUAAAAAAAAAAACACCUAAAUUCACUAGCAUUUUCCAUCCAUGAGGUCAUCAGGUGAUCUGUGUUUUUAAGGCUUGGUGACUACAAGGUACAACAACAACAACAGAAAAUAUCUUCUUCCUUGGUUCUCUGGAGGUCCUCCCCUGAAAGGAGUGAAUUUCAUGAGGCCUCUUAUAGACCCUGUGCAUCUUUAGGAAAAAGCCCAUGAUCCUGCCCUAGCCAAGGCAUUGAUCUAUGCUGAAUCUCACUUUCCACAUCCAUAAAAUGGUAGCAAUUCCACUCAGCAGCUCUCAAUGGAGUCAGCUGGCCUUUCUGAAAACCUAAGAGACAGAUCCCACUCUUUUUUUUUUUUUUUUUUUGAGAGAGAGUCUCACUCUGUCACCCAGGCUGGAGGGCAGUGGAGUGAUCUAGGCUCACUGCAACCUCUGCCUCCCGGGUUCAAGCGAUUCUCCUGCCUCAGCCUCCCAAAUAGGUCAGACUAUAAGCAUGUGCUACCAUGCCCAGCUAAUGUUUGUAUUUUUAGUAGAGAUGGGGUUUCACCAUGUUGGCUAGGCUGGUCUCAAACUGCUGACCUCAAGUGAUCCGCCUGCCUCGGCCUUCCAAAAUGCUGGGAUUACAGGCAUGAGCCACCGUUCCCAGCCAGAACCCACUUUUUAAUUUCCAUUCUUCUGUUACCCAUUUUGGUAACUGAGUAUAUAAUUUAUGUAAUGAACAUUUACUGAAUUCUUUCCAGAGCCAGGUGCUGAGAUUCAGGGAUGAAUAUGAUAUGGAUGGCACAGGAUCCCAAUCAGACGAGACAGAUGGACUAGAACACAGGCAGGUGGAAGGCAGGGUGGUGGGUUUACCAGCAGGACUGGCUGGGCAGCCCUGAAUGGGGGAGGAAGUAGGCGGUCAACCUCACCAGGGCUGGGGGUCUUUGACUCAUGUUUUCCUUAUUGUAGAACAUGUUCCCCAAUGAGAAUUUAGAAAAAUACAGACAUGACUGCAUUCUGAAGGAUGGAUGGAUUUUCCUUCCACCCAGUUUGUUUGCAGCCGUUCCUUUGCCUACAGCUCUCUUUCCAACCAGGCCUCAGUGUUUCUGCUUCCUGAGCCUCUGGGAAGCCUGUGGCUCCCCUUCAUUUCAUUGGCAUUUGCCAGGGGAAGUCUUUGGAGAAUGCUGGUGGCAGCCACAUUCUGUGAACCCAGUAGCGUCUGCGGUCUUCAUCCACUGCCAUUUACAGAACCGAAGUGCGAGGGGAGCACUGCUCUCCAUCCGGCAUCUGAAGGGAAGAAGCAAGACCUGGAGACAAAGUGGGAACUGCCAGGCUUCUUCAUGACACCAGGACUGCUGCAGAGGGAGCUGGGGUGGCAGGGCCUCCACCCGAGUCACCAAGAGCCUGGCACCGUGGAAGCUGUCCCCAUACCCUCACCCCUUAUGGAAAAGCCGAAGGCCCUGUGCCUGCCCUAGGCACCAAGGCUGGUGUAAGGGUCCCUGGAGAAACUCAAAUGUGGAGGCUGAAGCAGUCACAGGGAGGAUUACACAGGGGGUGGGCCUUCAGCAGGCCUGCUCUCUGGGGCAAGCGCUACCCCUGCGGAUGCCAUCCCCAAAAUGAACGGCAGCAUUGGGGACAAAUGUAAAUCACACACCCAGACGUUCUAUGAUUUUCUUUUUGCCUCUUGUGGAGUAGUUUACAGGUAUGAUGAGGUGAGAAGGAAGCCAUCAGCUAGAGAUUAAGAAGAAAAAUGAAAAAUGCUCCUCUUCGCAAGGCGCGCACACACACACGCACACAUGCACGCACGCACGCACACACACAAUUACACACAGCGUCCUAGGCAACCUCGCCCAGCGCGGCCCACUACAGAGCCCCUUCCUGGAACUCCCAUGGAGCUGGGGUGCAGGGGAAGCCUUGGAGAGACAUAGCUCCUGGGGACCCUAAGGCCACUCAGGUUUCUGGGCCUGAGCCAC